CAGAAACUUAAAGGAAUUGACGGGGGCCCGCACAAGCGGUGGAGUAUGUGGUUUAAUUCGAUGCAACGCGAAGAACCUUACCUGGUCUUGACAUCCCGGAGACCCUUAGGAAACUAGGGGGUGCUUCCAUCUGGAAGAAUCUGGAGACAGGUGCUGCAUGGCUGUCGUCAGCUCGUGUCGUGAGAUGUUGGGUUAAGUCCCGCAACGAGCGCAACCCUUGCCUUUAGUUGCCAGCAGUUCGGCUGGGCACUCUAAAGGGACUGCCGGUGUUAAACCGGAGGAAGGUGGGGAUGACGUCAAGUCCUCAUGGCCUUUAUGACCAGGGCUACACACGUACUACAAUGGCCGAUACAAAGGGCAGCGACACUGCGAGGUGAAGCCAAUCCCGUAAAAUCGGUCUCAGUCCGGAUUGGAGUCUGCAACUCGACUGCGUGAAGUCGGAAUCGCUAGUAAUCGUGAAUCAGAAUGUCACGGUGAAUACGUUCCCGGGCCUU
rnacentral:rRNA from 1 species